rnacentral:rRNA from 1 species
UUUGCUUUGUCAUUAACGAUUGUCAUUGCAAUGUUGAGCUAGAUUGCCGAUCGCUACUUGUUAUUGACACUCCUCGGUAGAGUCGGCAGGUAAAACGGACUUCGCAAUAGCGGACUUAACGAUGUCGAUUGACUUCGAGUAGCUGUGGCCAAGUCAGGACUGUUAUAGUCCCCGCCGCCCAAGAAGUGUAGCCCCCGAUCGCUCGUCCCCUCCCAGUCCUCCGACUGUCCCGCACGAUUGCUCGUCGCUCCAACCGCCACCCCUUCGCCGACGGGCCUCUAGGUUCGAUGUGGAGCGCCACAGACCAGAGUGGUCCGUGAGUAACGGCCGGAGCGGCCGUAGGGCUCCACCGUGUUGCUGCCGGCGCGAGUUGUGGGAGAAAGUGCUGAGCUGCUGCCGGAUCGCGGUAUCCGCCGAGUAUGCCACCAGGUCGCCUGCCGCCGGAGUCACCCACGAGCUGCUGCUGGCAUCGACCACGUGCUCGAACGUGAGUUGGUCAGAUCUGAGUUGAGGAGUAUAGCCCACGCCUGACUCUCAACCUACGAGACACGGUCGUAUACCUACACAACGCUGUGACAACGAAGCCGACACUCACCAGGUCCUAACGUUGGACCACAGUAGGUGAAGGAUGAGUGUCCAAUGGCAUCACAAUACAUUUUGUAUGGGUUCGAGAGCAAGGAAUUUUAAUAGGUAGAUAAUUGACCUAAUACUUAUUAACGAGAACGUUCACUUAAAAGUAAUGCACGCAACUCCUCCUACGCGCCAGAAGUCUGAGCCACUAAAGACCAAAAAAAGUAAACUAGUAAAGACGUCUCUAACAGGAAGAUACGUAAUAAACCAUUGGUAGAUGAUGUCUAGUCGAUGAUGGGACGACGACGGGAACACCACUUACUAACUACCACGUACAAAAGUACAAUCAAAAAGACAUACGGUUCAGACUUAAAAUAGUAAAACGUAAAGAGGUCGGGAAAGUAAGAGUGACACUAAGGGACUCUACGUAACAGGUAUCCGUUACGUGAAAGAUUAUUUUAUACCGCCACUUGAACUUUUCUCAUUAAAUAGAUCGAUGUUUUUGGACAACAAAUACAAGGAACGAAAACGUUUAUCAUCAAAUACCAACUGUGAAAUCAGAUAUAGACAGUACGUGGGUAGACCUGAUAUUUAUCCUGGGAGGUGGUGGUGAACGAUCGUUCAUGAUGUAGUAUGUCGUUGUCUGUGGUACCUAGAUGAAGACGAUGAGUAGAGCGAAGAAUACCAGUGAUGUCCUAUCCCUUAGACCGAACGCUCAAAACGGCUACGCUGGUACUGCCGCUACGGUUUGAGACUCCUCUAUGGUUUCCACAUGACCCUAUUAGGACAACACGAAACAAAGACAUACUAGAUUUUGAUGUUCCUAGAACACGUCAAGGCUACAAGACCUUACUCAUGCUUAGAAUGAUAUAGACUUGAACACUUUAAUCAGACUCAGACUGUCGCAACGUUGGUUUUGGUUUUGGUGUUCCCAGAACACGUCAAGUCUACAAGACCUUACUCAUGCCUAAAAUGAUAUAGACUUGAAACACUCAGACUGUCGGAACGUUGGUCUUGGUUUUAAUGUCCCUAUAACACUGUCGGGAGGUUGGUUUUGAUUUUGAUGUCCCUAGAACACGUCAAGUUACGACGGACAACAAACAACCUUAUAGUCGAUAGAACAAACACGUGUUAUUGGACGAAUAGUACUUUUUCAUCUUAUAAAAUCCUACCCCUAGUUCAACCAACCGUAAACAAUUCUAGAAGUACUCUUCGUCUAGAAGAGUCGGCUUGAAAAGAAAAAAUAAGCAGAACCAUUAGACUCUUAUAUAAAGAAUCAAUCUAUAGUUAAUGUGUUGAUACUGUGUUACUUAAGUGACAAAACUGCCCUGGAACGACUACAUUUAGUUACAUUAUUUUAACCGCGU